rnacentral:rRNA from 1 species
CUACGGGGCGCACCAGUCGAUAAUAUUCCACAAUGGUCGAAAGACUGAUGGAGCGACGCCGCGUGCAGGAUGAAGGCCUUCGGGUUGUAAACUGCUUUUUUUAGGGACGAAUUUCGUGACGGUACCUAAAGAAUAAGAGGUUACUAACUCUGUGCCAGCAGUAGCGGUAAUACAGAGACCUCAAGCGUUAUCCGGAUUUAUUGGGCGUAAAGAGCAUGUAGGCGGAUAUAUUAGUCAGAUGUCAAAUCUUCGAGCUCAACUCGAAAACUGCAUUUGAAACGGUAUAUCUUGAGAGAGUGAGAGACUAAUGGAACAUAUGGUGUAGCAGUGAAAUGCGUUGAUAUCAUAUGGAACACCAAAGGCGAAGGCAUUUAGUUGGCACUCUUCUGACGCUGAGAUGCGAAAGCGUGGGUAGCGAAUGGGAUUAGAUACCCGGGUAGUC